rnacentral:rRNA from 1 species
GAUGAACGCUGGCGGCGUGCCUAAUACAUGCAAGUCGAGCGAACGGACGAGAAGCUUGCUUCUCUGAUGUUAGCGGCGGACGGGUGAGUAACACGUGGAUAACCUACCUAUAAGACUGGGAUAACUUCGGGAAACCGGAUCUAAUACCGGAUAAUAUUUUGAACCGCAUGGUUCAAAAGUGAAAGACGGUCUUGCUGUCACUUAUAGAUGGAUCCGCGCUGCAUUAGCUAGUUGGUAAGGUAACGGCUUACCAAGGCAACGAUGCAUAGCCGACCUGAGAGGGUGAUCGGCCACACUGGAACUGAGACACGGUCCAGAGUCCUACGGGAGGCAGCAGUAGGGAAUCUUCCGCAAUGGGCGAGAGCCUGACGGAGCAACGCCGCGUGAGUGAUGAAGGUCUUCGGAUCGUAAAACUCUGUUAUUAGGGAAGAACAUAUGUGUAAGUAACUGUGCACAUCUUGACGGUACCUAAUCAGAAAGCCACGGCUAACUACGUG